CAUUAAGAAGCUAAAUAAGAUAUAGCAUUAGCCUUUUAAGCUAAAGAUUGGUGAUUUCUAACCACCCUUAAUGG
rnacentral:tRNA from 1 species